rnacentral:piRNA from 1 species
CCAUAGAAAGAACUCGGAAACAGGU